UACAGAGGGUGCGAGCGUUAAUCGGAAUUACUGGGCGUAAAGCGUGCGUAGACGGCUAUCUAAGUCGGGUGUGAAAGCCCCGGGCUCAACCUGGGAAUUGCACUCGAGACUGAAUAGCUAGGGUACGGUAGAGGGAAGUGGAAUUUCCGGUGUAGCGGUGAAAUGCGUAGAUAUCGGAAGGAACAUCAGUGGCGAAAGCGACUUCCUGGACCAGUACCGACGUUCAGGCACGAAAGCGUGGGGAGCAAACAGG
rnacentral:rRNA from 1 species